rnacentral:tRNA from 1 species
AGCAUAGUGGCGCAGUGGAAGCAUGCUGGGCUGGUGUCCCAGAGGUCCGUGGAUCGAAACCACGCUCUGCUG